UUGAGAAAGAAAAAAAUAUUGAUAAGAGUAAUGGCAAUGAGUCAAAUUAAAAAAUGUAUUGUGAUGAUGUUGAUAAUAAUGAUGUUUAAAAUACAAGUUGAAUGCAUUCCUCAAUCUCCCUAUUUUAAGACAAGCUCUGUAGUUUUAUGUAAGACUGGAUGUUUCUUUAAGUGCAGCGUUGGAAUGGUUUAUUUUGCAGAUUGCUUUGAAGACUGUUGUAAUGAUUGCAAACAUAAACAGAAUUAUGAUGCUUCACAUAAGUAAUGGUAUUUUUUUUGUUUCUCUUUAUCUUUUAUUUAGUCUUUUUUCACAAUAAUUAGUGCUUCACAUAUAUAUUUGUAUAAAGUUGUUUUAAUUUUGCAGGUAUUAGUGCUUCAAGUGAAUGUAUGUCGUGCUGCUUGGGAUGCUUACAUAUAUUUCUUAAGGAUUGGAAUUAAAAUAAUUAAUAAAUAAUUCAUAUGUUUUAUGCGAUGCUAUUCAAUAAAAUGUAUGGUUAAAUAUUGACAUUUUGUCAAAAUUAAAUAAAUAUAUUUUAAAUCAGGA
rnacentral:lncRNA from 1 species